rnacentral:rRNA from 1 species
GCAGCCGCCGCGGGAAUACGAAGGGUGCAAGCGUUGUCCGGAAUUAUUGGGCGUAAAGCGCGCGCAGGUGGUUUAAUAAGUCUAAUGUGAAAGCCCACGGCUCAACCGUGGAGGGUCAUUGGAAACUGUUAAACUUGAGUGCAGGAGAGAAAAGUGGAAUUCCUAGUGUAGCGGUGAAAUGCGUAGAGAUUAGGAGGAACGCCAGUGGCGAAGGCGGCUUUUUGGCCUGUAACUGACACUGAGGCGCGAAAGCGUGGGGAGCAAACAGGAUUAGAUACCCGGGUAGUCCCUGUCUCUUAUAC